rnacentral:rRNA from 1 species
AACGAACGCUGGCGGCAGGCUUAACACAUGCAAGUCGAACGGAUCCUUCGGGAUCAGUGGCGGACGGGUGAGUAACGCGUGGGAACCUACCCUGGGGUGGGGAAUAACCUUGGGAAACCGAGGCUAAUACCGCAUACGCCCUAUUGGGGAAAGACUAUGUUGCCCUGGGAUGGGCCCGCGUCCGAUUAGCUAGUUGGUGGGGUAAUGGCCUACCAAGGCUGCGAUCGGUAGCUGGUCUGAGAGGAUGAUCAGCCACACUGGGACUGAGACACGGCCCAGACUCCUACGGGAGGCAGCAGUGGGAAUAUUGGACAAUGGGGGCAACCCUGAUCCAGCCAUGCCGCGUGAGUGAAGAAGGCCUUAGGGUAGUAAAGCUCUUUCACCCGUGACGAUGAUGACGGUAGCGGGAGAAGAAGCCCCGGCUAAUUCCGUGCCAGCAGCCGCGUAAU